rnacentral:misc_RNA from 1 species
GAAAUGCGAUAAGUAUGUGAAUUGCAGAAUUCAGUGAAUCAUCGAAUCUUUGAACGCACAUUGCGCCCGCCAGCACUCUGGCGGGCAUGCCUGUUCGAGCGUCAUUUCAACCCUCAGAACCCCUUGCGGGAUCUGGCGUUGGGGAUUGGCAUCCAGCCAGCCCCGAAAUCUAGUGGCGGUCCCUCCGCGACCUCCCCUGUGCAGUAGCGAUACCUCGCAGCGGGACAGCGGUCUGACCACGCCGUAAAACCCCCAACUUCUCAAGGUUGACCUCGAAUCAGGUAGGAAUACCCGCUGAACUUAAGC